rnacentral:rRNA from 1 species
CGUGCUUAACACAUGCAAGUCGAACGAUUAACCCUUCUUCGGAAGGUCAUAAAGUGGCGAACGGGUGAGUAACACGUGACCAACCUGCCUCUCACAUUGGGAUAACUUAGAGAAAUCUAAGCUAAUACCAAAUACUCUUGAUCUGCCGCAUGACAGACCAAGGAAAGCUUUCGCGGUGAGAGAUGGGCUCGCGGCCCAUUAGCUAGUUGGUGGGGUAAAGGCCUACCAAGGCGACGAUCAGUAGCCGGGUUGAGAGACCGACCGGCCACAUUGGGACUGAGAUACGGCCCAGACUCCUACGGGAGGCAGCAGUGGGGAAUUUUGCGCAAUGGGCGAAAGCCUGACGCAGCAACGCCGCGUGCGGGAUGACGGCCUUCGGGUUGUAAACCGCUUUCAGUGGGAAAGAUAAUGACGGUACCCACACAAGAAGCUCCGGCUAAAUACGUGCCAGCAGCCGCGGUAAUACGUAUGGAGCAAGCGUUAUCCGGAUUUAUUGGGCGUAAAGCGCGCGUAGGCGGCUUGUUAAGCAAGGUCUUAAAUCUUGGGGCUCAACCUCAAGCCGGAUCUUGAACUGGCAGGCUCGAGUAUGGUAGAGGAAAGUGGAAUUCCCAGUGUAGCGGUGGAAUGCGCAGAUAUUGGGAAGAACACCGAUGGCGAAGGCAGCUUUCUGGGCCAUUACUGACGCUGAGGUGCGAAAGCUAGGGGAGCAAACAGGAUUAGAUACCCUGGUAGUCCUAGCCGUAAACGAUGGGCACUAGGUGUGGGGAGGAUAACCUUUCCGUGCCGCAGCUAACGCAUUAAGUGCCCCGCCUGGGGAGUACGGCCGCAAGGCUAAAAC